AUUGAACGCUGGCGGCAGGCCUAACACAUGCAAGUCGAGCGAGCGGCGGACGGGUGAGUAAUGCCUAGGAAACUGCCCGAUGGAGGGGGAUAACUACUGGAAACGGUAGCUAAUACCGCAUACCAUCGGAUGUGCCCAGAGGGGAUUAGCUAGUAGGUGGGGUAACGGCUCACCUAGGCGACGAUCCCUAGCUGGUCUGAGGGGAUGACCAGCCACACGGGAACUGAGACACGGUCCAGACUCCUACGGGAGGAAGCAGGGGGGAAUAUGGCACAAUGGGCGCAGGCCUGAUGCAGCCAGGCGGCGUGUAUGAAGAAGGCCUUCGGGUUGUAAAGUACUUUCAGCGAGGAGGCGUGACUCGCAGAAGAAGCACCGGCUACUCCGUGCCAGCAGCCGCGGUAAUAC
rnacentral:rRNA from 1 species